AGGCAGGCUGCAGACUGGGAGGGUGGGAGUGAGCAUGCAGCCGACCCCACCAUAGGCACGGGGCGUCGCCUUCUCCCCUCAGCACAGAGGAGAGGUGACGAAUGCCAUUUGGUCUCUGCAGCGUCUGUAGAGGGAAGUCUGUAAGCAGGAGUGCCAACCCCAAUUGGCAGAUUCUCUGACACUUCAAGUCUGCAGAGGAAAAGCAGCCAGAUCUGCCAGUGAGCCUCAGGCUUUAGGAACCGAAGAGGGAUGAUACUGUGAAGUGUUUAGGAAUGAAGUCUCGUGAUACCUGCUACCUAGUUUCAAAUGGCAGGAGAGACAGAGGGAUGGGGAAGCAAAAGUGACCAUUGUUAACUCUAGGUGUUUAGUAUGUGGGUGUUCCUUGUUUUAUUCUUUCACCUGUAAUAUAUGUUUAUAUUUUUUAAAAGUUAAUAAGUUGGAGGAUGAUAGAAGCAUUAAAAAGUAGGCCGGGUGUGGUGGUUCAUGCGUGUAAUACCAACACUUUGGGAAACUGAGGCAUUAAGAUCGCUUGAGGCCAGGAGUUCGAGACCAGCAUGGGCAACAUGGCCAGACUU
rnacentral:sRNA from 1 species